rnacentral:rRNA from 1 species
UCCGGUAACCAUAUCCGAAAGGUCCCACCUGUUCCCAUCCCGAAUACAGAAGUUAAGCUUUCGGAGCCGAUGAUAGUAGAACCACUGCGAAAGUAGGUAUUGCCGGUC